rnacentral:rRNA from 1 species
AGGAUGAACGCUGGCGGUCUGCUUAACACAUGCAAGUCGAACGGGCGUAGCAAUACGUUAGUGGCGGACGGGUGAGUAACGCGUGAGAAUCUACCUUCAGGACGGAGACAACAGUUGGAAACGACUGCUAACCCCCGAUGUACCGAAAGGGCAAAUAUUUAUAGCCUGAAGAAGAGCUCGCGUCCGAUUAGCUAGUUGGAGAGGUAAAAGACUCACCAAGGCGACGAUCGGUAGCUGGUCUGAGAGGACGAUCAGCCACACUGGGACUGAGACACGGCCCAGACUCCUACGGGAGGCAGCAGUGAGGAAUUUUCCGCAAUGGGCGAAAGCCUGACGGAGCAAAUGUCGCGUGGAGGAGAAGGCCCGUGGUCGUAAACUCCUUUGUCAAAGAGAAAAUAUGACGGUAUUGACGAAUAAGCAUCGGCUAACUCCGUGCCAGCAGCCGC